CCUACGGGAGGCUGCAGUAGGGAAUAUUACUCAAUGGGGGAAACCCUGAAGCAGCAACGCCGCGUGGAGGAUGAAGGUUUUCGGAUUGUAAACUCCUGUUGUAAGAGAAGAUAAUGACGAUUUGUAACGGAUAAGCACCGGCUAACUCCGUGCCAGCAGCCGCGGUAAUACGGAGGGUGCAAGCGUUACUCGGAAUCACUGGACGUAAAGAGCGCGUAGGCCGGAUUGCAAGUCAGAUGUGAAAUCCUAUGGCUUAACCAUAGAACUGCAUUUGAGACUGUUAUUCUAGAGUAUGGGAGAGGUAGGUGGAAUUCUUGGUGUAGGGGUAAAAUCCGUAGAGAUCAAGAGGAAUACUCAUUGCGAAGGCGACCUGCUAGAACAUAACUGACGCUGAUGCGCGAAAGCGUGGGGAGCAAACAGGAUUAGAUACCCGGGUAGUC
rnacentral:rRNA from 1 species